AGGUGAACUCCCCAGCAGCCCAGAGGCUGUCAAAAGCGUAAGACUGAGACUCAGUAAAGGGCAGAGUUUAGCUGUUGCCUCAGGCUCACUUUCCCAGCUCCACCCUAGACUAAACUGGACUGACAUAGAAGAGGAAUACAAUGAGCUAGGUAUUUCCAAGAAGACUGUAGUUCACUUUAAAUGCCUAGCAUUGGAGUGCCCUCUGUGCAACAGCACCGUAUUUAGGCUUUAUGUGAAGUAUCUGUCUUAAAUCACCAACAAUUUCAUCUCGCAGAUAUUGUUAAUACUCCCGUUUUACAGGUUUCUAAAGGUCUGGAAUCAUUUCUUGGUCAACUUUUUUAUCAUCACAGCACCUGUCAUAGAGCUCCAACAGCAGGAGAAGACCAUUUUGUAUGGCUCGAUCCUUCCAAGGUUGGGAGCCAAACAACCUGCUGAACAUGCCAAUGUGGCAUAACUAUGAACUAAAGAAACAUCCUCCACCCAAAUCUCCCAGGCCAGGAAUAAGGAGGGCUAAAGACCUCUCUACAGUCUGCCACCUCAGUGUUUCAUGUUUAUAUUGUCAAGUCGCUCCUCAAUAAAAU
rnacentral:lncRNA from 1 species